rnacentral:lncRNA from 1 species
UCCUUUCUAGGGUUAGCAAAGUGAUAGCUCAUUCCUAGGUGAGCUUUGCUCCUACCUAUCUCUACUCUUGAGAGAGAGAGACCACUACUCCAUUGGAGGCCAAGACCUCCAUCUAGGAGAAGAUCCCGCGGGAUAUCAUCAAGACCCCCUUGUGGGAAGAUCCAUCUAGGAUAUCAUCAAGACCUCCUCUUGGAGAUGAACCUUACCUUGUAUCUUUCCCUUUGUUGUUCAUAUACCUUGUGAUCUUGUGUGUUUGAUUGUCUAGUGGAUGUGUGAUUUGGACUUGUUCUUGAGUGUUUCCCCUUGUGAUUUCUUCCCGUUCUUCCCCGUGUUCAUCGUGUUCUUCGAGGGAUCCCACUCCAAACGUGAAAGAUCGUCGCUAUAGGGUUCCACCCUACAUCAUAUGGUAUCAUGAGCCACGUUGAUCACGUUUUUGGAGUCCCUCCCACCGUUUUCUAGCCUUCUUUUGCUUGAUUUCGUCCUAAAUCCGAAAAUCCCCACCAAAAAUAGCCCCCAAAAUUUUUUGUGAUUUGUUGGUUUGAUGAUGUUUUGUUGAUUUUGAUCCGUGGAUUUGCUUGGUUUCAAGUGGAUCUAGCAUCUCCCCAAGUUUCCCCAUCUUCCAUCCACGAAAUCCAUCAAAUUUUGCCCCGAAAAUCAUCCAUUUCCGCCCAAAAAAUUCAUCCCCACGAGCAAAUCCCGAGCGGAUUGACUUGCCCGGAUCAUCCAGACAUUCUCCCGGAUCAUCCGGACCUCACCCGGAUCAGCUGGACGCCCCCCCGGACGUCCGGAUAAAUCGCGCACCCAGAAAACAGAACCGGCGCUGACGAACCCGGAUCAUCCUGAUUUCCUCCCGGAUCAUCCGGACCUAGCCCGGAUCAUCCGGACCUCCUCCCGGAUCAUUCGGUUAACCCUGAAACUGACACGGCUGAAAUCUUAUUUCGGUCAUAACUAAUUCAUCCGGAGUCCGAUUUUGACGUUCUUUAGCUCGUUUUGAAGCUCUUGACAUCCCCCAUCCCACAAAAAUACCACCAACAUCAUUUGACUCCAUCAUAUUUUCUGAAAUUUGGCAAGUUUGCCUAGGGCUUCCACCAUAUCAUCCGCAUUACCACCACCGACUUCCGCAACCUAACCCAUUUUGUUCCCCAUAGCAUUUGAGGUUGUUUGAGUAGUGAAUUGAGUCUCCUAAGGUGUUUCGGCUACUUAGGGACGGUUGCUUCUUCAUCAACCACCACCACCACCACUUCCACAUAACCUUCCCACCAUACACUUCCGACAACCCAACUUAACCCAAUUGUUGUUUGAGCUUGUUCGAGUUGUGGCUUGUGUCUCCUAAGGUGUUUCGGCUACUUAGGGACGGCAACUUCAACUCCGACUUGUGUAUAACCCAUCAUUCCACUUCCGCAUUUCCUAGUGCAACACCACCACCGCUUUCCGCUACCACCAUUUGACAUUUGUCACUUGAGAUUUUGAGUUUGCGGUUUUUCCGUUUCCUAAGGUGUUUCGGCUACUUAGGGACGAGUCUCCAUCAUCUUGGUAUCUACACCAAGAACAUCGCCACUCAUCAUCACAAAGGACGGUAACCUCGACGACACCAUUGUAUAUUCCCUUGCAAUUGCAUUAUUAACCCCUAGCCCAUUUUGCGUUACUUGCCUAUCGAGACUAGCCAUUUGAGUAUUGCGGCAACGUGACUUGUGCACAUUAGUGGUCUACACCAUCCAUUGCAUACAUACCAUAUCAUCUUGGUAUCAUAUCAUCCAUUGUGCCUCAAGUUUGUUCCCGCAUAUACACAAUUGCUAUCUUGGUUUGUGCAUUGUGCAAAAGUGGCCAUAGAAAAAAAAGAGAAAACGCUUUUAAGCAAAAAGAGAGCAAAGAGCUCGUGAGCAAGUGCCAUAGCAUCAUACCCCCAUUGCAAAUAAGAGCCAUACCAAAAUCUACAUCAUAUGAUAUCAUGCUUGAGAGAAGCACUGGGAACCAUACAUACAUAGCAUACUUGGGAUAGAAGUUUAUCCAUUUCGCAUCUAUAGGUUGUGCACAAGUGUCGUAUCCGCCUAUUGAGCAAUCGCGCUAGCGUCUCUCUUGAGUUGUGCAAUACGAGCAUUUUCCGUGGACUCCACAUUUUGUGCUCAUUCCUUGGUUGCACGACCCCAUUUAUCUAUCCGUGUGUGUGUUUACGUGUACCAUUUGCUAUUGGUCUACUUGUUUCACUUGCGAAUUUGUGAAUCUCUUUCAACAUUAUUGACUCUUGCUAACAUUUUGCAUUAAAUUUUUGUGCCACUAUCCUCACCGAGCUCCACCAUAAGCUUUACUUGAUAGGUGUGAGUGAACAAGUCCGGUACCAAUUCCACUAUUCUUUCAUCUCACAUUGAGUGACACGGGAUACAUCCUCAAUGUUGGGAAAAGGUAACUUGGUAUUGUUUAUCUCAUUUCCUACUCACCUCUACUCGAGUCUUGUGAUGGAUAGGCAAGGCAUUUCACUUUCGGUCUACAACAACAAUGACGAGUUCGAUGCCAUGAACAACAACUACGACACCAAGAUGGACAAGCGCAUGGAGGAGAUCAAGGCCCUCAUCAAGUCCUACAAGCGAUCUUCCUCAUCUUCGAGAAGACGCUCAAGAGCACAUCCUUCCGAGCUACCACCUCCGGCAAGAUCACAUCGGCAUCGACACCAUCACCAACAAGAACGUGAAGGUUCAGAGCUCAACACCAACAACCGCUCAACGACUUCACCAUCUCCCUUGGCAUCUUCGCCAAGCGACUUCAAGGCAUCUUCGCUGACGGACAUAUUGCAUCUUCGCCAACAAGAACCUCAAGACUACACUCAAGAGAAGCUACCCAAGCUCAAGUCCGCGACUUCCACGAGCUACUACGACCUUGACACCGACCACAAGAUUCCUUUCUAUGGGACUCAAGAACCCGAGGAGUACCUCGAGUGGGAGCGUUUGAUGGACGACUACCUCAAGCUACAUCAAGUUCCUCCCGAAGAUCAAGUGAAGUGCGCCACAAGAAACUUCCAUGACUACGCAUUGGCAUGGUGGCUUAACACACCUUCGGAGUACUAUGACAUGAGUUGGCACAAGACGAAGAAAGCUUUGCGGUGAGAGUUUGUGCCUCCAACCUACACGGAACAACUUCUAGGAGAACACCACCCAAGGAUCCAAGUCCAUCGACAAGUACUUCAAAGAGAUGAUGAUUGCCUUGCGACGAGCCGGCGUGGACGACCCCAUUUCGAUGAAGUUCCACUUCAUGAUGGGAUUGCACAAUGACAUCUCCAAGACCAUCUUCCUCGAGAACUACAAGUCCAUCGACGACUACUACAUUGGUGCUCUCAAGGCGGAACAAGAACUCAUGAAGGCCAAGGCUUCUCCACUCCAAGCAAACUUCGCGGCGACCAAGCUCUAUGACAAGCAUGAGGCUAGUACCACCAUGAUGUCCAAGGCCGACAAGCUCCAAGACGAUGCUCCCAAGUGUGACUUCACCGCCAUCCCUCUUUGUGGCAUUGAUGAUGCCGAGUCUACUUCGACUCUUUUUCAAGACGGCGCGGCGACGAGUUCGACUACGGAGACCUUCAAGGACCAAGCUUUGGAGGCGAGUGACAAGGUGAAGAGCAAGGAUGAUGCUUCCAUCUUAGGAGGCAAGAGUGAUGAUGUGCCAUCUUCGGCCUUCAUCCACGACGAGAGUGAUGUUGAGCCAUCUUCGGCCUUCAUCCACGACGAGAGUGAUGAUGGGCCAUCUUCGGCCUUCAUCCACGGCGACCACGACGAGAUGGUUGAGCAUGGGACUUUCCCUUCGACCACGGCGAUGUAUGAUGACUUGAGUGACUUGUGCCACCAUAUUGAGAGUGAGAGUGACUUCACCACUAGCCCCAUAUAUGAUGAGUUGCCACAAUUCCCAUGUGAGGAGAGCCACAACCCCCACCACUUGAGUGAGAUGAGUGACUCCACCAUACGUGAGUUUGAGUGCAUCUAUUUUGAGGGAGUGAGUGAACCACCACAUAGAGAGAGUGAGAUAGUUGAUAGGUCUCGUGAGGCCAUUUGCAUUUCUAACAACUUGACCUCUACCUCUAUUGUGUCUUCUCGUUUGGUGCUAGGUCCCAUUUAUGAUGACGCGCCGAUCCUCGACGACUUCGUCCUCCCUUUGGACAAGACAAUGGCCAUGGUGGAUUAUGAUGCACCGCCCACAUGGUUCCAUCAAGAUGAUGAUGAUGACCACCAUUUGGUCUUUCCCACCUCACCUACACCACUUGAGUGGAAUGACAAAGGUAACAUAUGUGAAGGUGAUGCUCUAGUCCCACUAGUGGACAUUCUUGACAUUGAUUGCUUGCAUGAUGUUGAUCCACCUAUUGCCAUGCUUCAUGCAAGUAUGAUUUCCCCAUGCGAUGAUUUGCCCAUUUAUGAUGAGUAUGAUGAUUCUAUUGUGGAUUCUAUUAGUUGUGAUGCCAUGUUACAUAGGAUUUCUUGUGACAAUUCUUUAGGUCACAUCAUGUUUGAUAAUCCGCUUGACUUGUCAUAUGCUAUGCAUGAGAUCAACCAUAUGUCUUAUUUGGAAUCUCUUCAUAGUGACUAUGCAUAUGCCAUUAAAAUAAACCCAAUUUGCACAUAUGGGAUAGAUGACAAGCCCAUGGUUAUUGGCAUUUGUUUUUCUUGUGAUGAUAUUGAUAUGCUCCCUUUGCAUCAUUUAUCUCAUAUGCCAUGCCAUGACCACCUAGCUUCGGAUAUGCAUUGUUUUGGAUGUUGUCCAUUUUCUCCAUGUGAUGUUUCCGAUAUUGCUCAUGAGGAGGCCCCCAUAGUUUCCUCAUACAUUUUAGGAGAUUUUGAUCCAUCCCAUCCAUUGCAUGAUCCCAAUACGUGUGUGCACCAUAUGCUCCCCAUGAAUAAACAUGCUUUUGAUGUGCCUUAUACUUGUUUGCUCAAUUUGUGUCCCCAUCGUGUCAUACAUAAUAACUAUUCUUUCAUGAUGGAUGACAUGUUCUUAUACCAUGCAUCAAAUUUCUUUGAGCGAUGCUUAUCUUGUGCUAACUCACACGUGCACAUACACAUCAUGAUGGAUGAUGUGUACAUUUACCACACACACAAUUUCUUUCGUUUGUGUCUCUUUUGUGUAGGUACCCAUGCAUACUUGUCAACUUCGCAAUCCCACGAGUUGACAAAACGAGCUCUUGAGAGCAAUGACGAUUUGGGAUACCGUGGACUAUCCUUACCACCGUUCCCUUAGCGCAAGGACUACGCGCAACUCCUCUACUUGGCUCUCACACGGCUAUGGGCCAUUUACCACUUCUCACAUUAUGCUCAUUUUACCGUGUUCACUUUGCAUGCUAUGCUUGCUUCUAUGCCUUUGCCAUGCAAUUGUGACCCUUGUUUUCAUCUACCCAUGAUUCUCCAUUAUGAUAUUCCUAUGUGUAUUUGCAUGCUUGGUGGAGAUCCUUGUUGCUUUUGCCAUGUUUAUCAUGUGCCCCAUUCUAUUGAUGCUUGUUGUGUUGGGAGAGUCAUGAUGACCCAUUGCUAUUCACAUAUGGCCUCUCGCCAAUACAUUCAUGAUAUUGUACUCAUAUCUUGCUUUCAUGCUUGUGCUAUGACUUGUGAAUUAUUCAUACCCACUAUUUGCACCAAUGACAUGUUUACCAUGAUUCCUCCUAGUAUGUUGCAUCUUCGCACUACUAGCUUGCUUGAUUUGAUAGCUAUGAAUGCUCGCUAUAUUGCAUCACCCAUGUUCCACUACUUGCUUUCUUGGGUUAAUGACAUAUAUGCUCAUGCCUCACACAUGUUGAACAAUUGCUCUUUCCAUUGUGUUGAGUGCCACAAUAUCUUCACUACACCCUAUGCACGUUAUGCUUGGAUUGUCUUGCACUUGCCCCGUGUGUUUAGACAUUUCACUAUAUUUGGUGUUGUGAAUGACUCUUAUGCCUACCAUAGACCGUUCAUUGAGCACUUUAUGCAUGCUUGCUAUGACCUUGAGGUAGAUGCUUCUUCACUUAUCACAUAUAUUUGCAUCUUGAUCUCACAUUUGCAUGCUUGUUCCCAUGAUGUACUUGAUUGUGCUCAAUUUAUAUGCUCAAAUGCCAUGCCACACUUCUUUGUCAAACCAUAUGCUAUGCUUGAUGACAACACUUGUUGGGUGAAUCACCUCUUGAAUGCUUGGUUUUGCUCUUACGACAACCACAUUUGUUUUUCCAAGAGCUAUCUUUGCUACUUUUGAAGGAAUUACAAGACGGCGCGACAUUGGAGAGUGCCCAUUUGGAACUACAAGAUGACGAAUGCUUGGUGAUCGUCCACUUCUACACGACGACAUCAUCUCUUUCCCAUGGUGAUUUGGAUUUCGUUCCGAGGUCGGAUCUUUCCCAAGGGGGAGGGGAUGAUGCGGAGCAUCCUACGGACAUCACCAUGUCAAGAGCCCAUUUGGCAAGUGACACGUGCGACAUCUACUUCACACACACCAAGGUGAAUAAUCUCCUUUACACGUGCUCACUUGACCCCUUCGAGGAUGGCAUACUACUUGACACUUCUCCCGUGUGCAUGCAUAGGUAUUGUCGGAACUUCACGGACGACGAGGAGGAGUGCAAGCGCCAAGGAACGACUACACCAUCUGCGAGGGAAGCGUGGAAGAGAAGACGGAAGAAAGGAGAAGAAGACGGAGCGGCUGCAGGAGCCAGGCCGGACAUCCGGACCACCGUCCGGAUCAUCCGGGCUCGGCCGGAUCAUCCGGGUCCCCCUUCGGAUCAUCCGGACAAUUUGGCCCGAAGACAACAGAAGCUGCCCGACGAAGCCGGAUCAUCCGGACGGUCGCCCGGAUCAUCCGGACCCCCGACACCCGGAUCAUCCGGGCCACCAUCUGGAUCAUCCGGACCCCGCCUGCGUGCGUGACUUGGGCCGAAGCCCGUGUACCCCUUUGCCCCUCACAUACCCCUUCGCCCCUUGGGCUAUAAAUAGACCUCCUCCACCUCCUUUCUAGGGUUAGCAAAGUGAUAGCUCAUUCCUAGGUGAGCUUUGCUCCUACUUAUCUCUACUGUUGAGAGAGAGAGACCACUACUCCAUUGGAGGCCAAGACCUCCAUCUAGGAGAAUAUCCCGCGGGAUAUCAUCAAGACCCCCUUGUGGGAAGAUCCAUCUAGGAUAUCAUCAAGACCUCCUCUUGGAGAUGAACCUUACCUUGUAUCUUUCCCUUUGUUGUUCAUAUACCUUGUGAUCUUGUGUGUUUGAUUGUCUAGUGGAUGUGUGAUUUGGACUUUUUCUUGAGUGUUUCCCCUUGUGAUUUCUUCCCGUUCUUCCCCGUGUUCAUCGUGUUCUUCGAGGGAUCCCACUCCAAACGUGAAAGAUCGUCGCUAUAGGGUUCCACCCUACAUCAUAUGGUAUCAUGAGCCACGUUGAUCACGUUUUUGGAGUCCCUCCCACCGUUUUCUAGCCUUCUUUUGCUUGAUUUCGUCCUAAAUCCGAAAAUCCCCACCAAAAAUAGCCCCCAAAAUUUUUUGUGAUUUGUUGGUUUGAUGAUGUUUUGUUGAUUUUGAUCCGUGGAUUUGCUUGGUUUCAAGUGGAUCUAGCAUCUCCCCAAGUUUC